rnacentral:sRNA from 1 species
GGAACCACGGGCUCGUUUCUAUGCUGCUGAAAUAGCCAGUGCCUUGGGCUACCUGCAUUCACUGAACAUCGUUUAUAGAGACUUAAAACCAGAGAAUAUUUUGCUAGAUUCACAGGGACACAUUGUCCUUACUGACUUCGGACUCUGCAAGGAGAACAUUGAACACAACAGCACAACAUCCACCUUCUGUGGCACGCCGGAGUAUCUCGCACCUGAGGUGCUUCAUAAGCAGCCUUAUGACAGGACCGUGGACUGGUGGUGCCUGGGAGCCGUCUUGUAUGAGAUGCUGUAUGGCCUGGUGAGUGGCACAUUGGGAACCAUGGAACACUGCCUGCUCCCUACAAUAUUGUCUUCACACAGCCCAUGCCUGGCCAUUGUGUCUUGCCCUUACCAGUACGCUUAUCAAAAGCAGCUAAGAGGCAUAUUGGUUAUUUUAUAUUUCCUAAGAAUAAUCACUUACCUGGUUCUUUUGUGCAUUUCACAUUUUACUAGAUAGGACCACAUUUAACCUGUGUGGUGGUGAAAAACUACCACUUAUUAACAUCUACCCCCUCACCCUCCACACACA